rnacentral:rRNA from 1 species
UAGGAAUAUUGGACAAUGGGGGAAACCCUGAUCCAGCCAUACCGCGUGUGUGAAGAAGGCCUGCGGGUUGUAAAGCACUUUUAGUGGGGAAGAUAAUGACGUUACCCACAGAAAAAGCACCGGCUAACUCCGUGCCAGCAGCCGCGGUAAUACGGAGGGUGCAAGCGUUAAUCGGAAUUACUGGGCGUAAAGCGUGCGUAGGCGGCUCUUUAAGUCGGAUGUGAAAUCCCCGGGCUCAACCUGGGAACUGCAUCCGAUACUGGGGAGCUAGAAUGUGGGAGAGGGAAGUGGAAUUUCCGGUGUAGCGGUGAAAUGCAUAGAGAUCGGAAGGAACAUCAGUGGCGAAGGCGACUUCCUGGACCAACAGUGACGCUGAGGCACGAAAGCGUGGGUAGCAAAC